rnacentral:rRNA from 1 species
CGGACGGGUGAGUAACACGUGGAUAACCUACCUAUAAGGCUGGGAUAACUUCGGGAAACCGGAGCUAAUACCGGAUAAUAUAUUGAACCGCAUGGUUCAAUAGUGAAAAACGGUUUUGCUGUCACUUAUAGAUGGAUCCGCGCUGCAUUAGCUAGUUGGUAAGGUAACGGCUUACCAAGGCAACGAUGCGUAGCCGACCUGAGAGGGUGAUCGGCCACACUGGAACUGAGACACGGUCCAGACUCCUACGGGAGGCAGCAGAG